CUGGGCCUUGUGCAACUGUAUCAUGCAACGCGGGGUCUUGUGCAACACUGGAGUGCCACAUGGGAUCGUGUGCAACGCAGUGGUGCACCCUCAUAGUGCAAAGCAGAUCCUUGUGCAACACCCCCAUGAAAGACCAGGCCUUGCACGGUGUCCUCGUGCAACAGCAGGUGGAUACACGGGGCCUCGUGCAAAGGCCUCGUGCAGCGACGUGCGGUGAAAGGCGCCCUCGUGCAAUGCCCUCGUGCAACACGGGGGCUCUUGUGCAAAGGCAUUGUGCAAAGGUGGGUCUUGUGCGACGCCAUCGUGCAAUGGUGCGGUUACAGAGUGCCUCGUGCAACCCUGCGGUGCAAAAUGCACGCUUGUGCAAAGGCCUCGUGCAACGGGCUGGCCUCUUGGAGAGGCUUCGUGCAACACCGGGCCUUGUGCAAUGCUCCUUGUGCAAUGGUGCGGUGGUGCAGGAGGCCUCGUGCAACACUACAGGGUAUUCGUGCAAAGGCCUCGUGCAGCAGCCGACUGUGGGAUCUGCCUCGUGCAAAGGCCUUGUGCAACGGCUUGUGCAACACUACAGAGGAAGCGGAGCUCUUGUGCAAGGCUCUCGUGCAACAGCGUGAAGCACACGUGAUGCAGCUGCAAGGAGUGGAUCCUUGUGCAACAGGAUGUGCUAGUGCAAGGGCUGGGUCAUCGUGCAACGGCCUGCUGCACCAGCCCUUGUGCAAGAGAUGGGCCCUUGUGCAACAGACCCGUGCAACAUCCCUGUGCAAGAGGUGACCCCUUGUGCAACACACUUGUGCACCACACCAUACCUGUGCAAGAGGCGGCCCUUUGUGCAAUGGACUUGUGCACCACUGCUUGUGCAAGAGGGCACGCUUGUGCACAGCUGCUUGUGCAAGAGGACUCCCAAUGUGCAACAGCCUUGCACUACACUCGUGCACCACCCCUCGUGCAAGAGGAGCCCCCUCGUGCAAAUGCCUUGCACACCACCCCUUGUGCAACGCCCUUGCACACCACCCCU
rnacentral:lncRNA from 1 species